UUGAAAAGAACUUUGAAGAGAGAGUUCAAGAGUACGUGAAACCGUUCAGGGGUAAACCUGAGAAACCCGAAAGAUCGAAUGGGGAGAUUCAUCGUCAGCGGAGUCGUCUUCGCCUCGGCGUGCGAUGCCGGGAAAUUCGUUUCCACGGCACUCCGUCGGGGUGUUAAUGCACGGCAACGCGGGCGUGCACUUCUCCCCUAGUAGGACGUCGCGACCCGUUGGGUGCCGGCCUACGGUCCGGUGGGCCGCCUAUCCCGGCGUUUAAUCGCGUCGUGGACAGACCCCCGGUUACCCGGCCGGCUGCUCGGCGGUACUCGCACGGUAUCGGGCCGCAUUCGAACUGCGUCCAGCCCGCCGCAAGCGCGGUCAGUGUAUACCCGUCGGUCGGACCUAGUGCCGUCCCCGGGCCUGACCAGCUGUUGGUCGGCGGUGUCCUCGGACUGGCCCUCGAACUUAUGAUACCGGUCGGCGACGCUAUUGCUUUGGGUACUUUCAGGACCCGUCUUGAAACACGGACCAAGGAGUCUAACAUGUGCGCGAGUCAUUGGGAACGUAUGAAACCUAAAGGCGCAAUGAAAGUGAAGGUCGGCCUUUGUGCCGACCGAGGGAGGAUGGGUCGCGUCAAGAUGCGGCCCCGCACUCCCGGGGCGUCUCGUUCUCAUUGCGAGAAGAGGCGCACCCAGAGCGUACACGUUGGGACCCGAAAGAUGGUGAACUAUGCCUGGUCAGGACGAAGUCAGGGGAAACCCUGAUGGAGGUCCGUAGCGAUUCUGACGUGCAAAUCGAUCGUCGGAACUGGGUAUAGGGGCGAAAGACUAAUCGAACCAUCUAGUAGCUGGUUCCCUCCGAAGUUUCCCUCAGGAUAGCUGGCACUCGGGAUUCUUAUUUUGAACGCGAGUCUCAUCCGGUAA
rnacentral:rRNA from 1 species